GAAAUUGAUUGCUAUAUGGUAAUUGAGGUCAUAAUUUGCAAAAUUGGUCAUUUUACGCAUAUGGCCAUAUUUUAAAUUAACCAAUUGACCUUUAGUUAUAAUGAGGUCAUAAUUAAGUGGUUCAAUUAGUGGACAUUUUUUUAAUUUAGGCUAUUUGUGAAAAUGAUAUUUUUUACCCCUCCUUAUAUACACGUGUAUACACGGGUAUACAUGAAUAUACAUGUACAACCAUGUAUACAAGCAUAUCAGAAUUGGGCUAUAUUCCCACUCCUUUAUUUUCUCGGCCAGGUCUAGCCCAAUUAGAUCGACCCAACCCAAACACCAAAAAUAUAUAAGCCUUGGCUUAUACACAAACACACCCUUUCAGCCGAUCAACAAAGGAAACAAGGGUUUGCCUUCAAGCCCUAGCGCCGCCAGAGGGAGAAAACCUCUCUCCUCAUCACCACGUUGCCGAAAAUGGUAAAAUGUCAGGCGACGCGCCUUCGUCUCAGUCUGUGCUCGUGUAUUUCGGGUAAGAGCAUUAAUUGCUCUUACCAUCUAUCCUCACACCGUCGUUGAACAACCCAAACACGGUAGAAACCCUCUUCUUUCUCAUUCUUUUCCUUUCUGAAGAAUUAUAAUGGCAUUUGUCUUAUUAUUUUGCAAAAAGCAACAAUUUCCAUUGGCUAUCGGUUUAAUUUGUUUCAAAAGAAAAGGAAAAUCCACAAGAUUUCUUCAAAAUACCAAAGUCCCACAUCGAUUUCAAGAGAUAUCUGAGGACCUUGGGGGUUCUAUAUCAAGAACUCCCAAUUCACAAUAUACAGAGACUCAUUGAUAAUAACACACAUAAGACUCUAAUUUCAGAAAUAUUUUGAAAAUAGAGCAAAAAGUAUUAGUUCCAAUUUAACUAGGGUUUAGCUCUAAGCUGAAACCUUUACUUAAUUGGACUUUUUAGUCUAAAAACUUGCUUCUUUCUUUGUGGCUGAGUUCGGUGAGGAGCAUUUGGACUUCAAUUCCAUUCUCGAUCAAGGUUGCGCCAAAAAGAGGUAGAUAGGGAGACGGGCCAGACCCCCAGGAUGCUUCAUCAACGAUUGCAUAAGAGUGCUCCAUUUGAUCCGGAGCUGUAGUUUAGUUGGUACCAUUUCUUUUGUUUACAUACUUGGGCAUGGCGGGGUCCUGUCCCGUCUUUAAGAUGUUAUGCACUCCUUGUAGAGGCUUGUAGACAGAUGUAUAUAGUUAGAUGUUCCAUAACCUUACCGGUUCAUAUUUUUGUAUAUCAUUUUUGGCAGCCUUGUCGGCUUUUACAUAUGGGCAUAGUUGAUGAUGUUUAUAAAGACGUGCAUAUGUUCGUUGGAACUUGUGCCCCUUCA